AGGGAUGUGGCUCAGUCAUUCAGCAUCUGCAUUGCAUGCAUAAGGUCCCAGUUUCAAUCCCUGGCAUCGCUA